CCCUUAGAUGUUCUGGGCUGCACGCGCGCUACACUGAUGCACUCAACGAGCCUAUCCUUGACCGACAGGUCCGGGUAAUCUUUGAAUCUGCAUCGUGACGGGGAUAGAUUAUUGCAAUUAUUAAUCUUCAACGAGGAAUGCCUAGUAGGCGCAAGUCAUCAGCUUGCGUCGAUUACGUCCCUGCCCUUUGUACACACCGCCCGUCGCUCCUACCGAUUGGGUGUGCUGGUGAAAUGUUCGGAUCGGCCGUUUGUCGCGGUUUCCGCGUCAUGUGGCUGAGAAGUUCAUUAAACCCUCCCACCUAGAGGAAGGAGAAGUCGUAACA
rnacentral:rRNA from 1 species